GAUGAACGCUAGCUACAGGCUUAACACAUGCAAGUCGAGGGGCAGCAUGGACAUAGCUUGCUAUGUUUGAUGGCGACCGGCGCACGGGUGCGUAACACGUAUCCAAUCUGCCCCGUUACUCGGGGAUAGCCUUCUGAAAGGAAGAUUAAUACCCGAUGGCAUGUAUUUCCGGCAUCGGAGAUACAUUAAAGAUUUAUCGGUAACGGAUGAGGAUGCGUACGAUUAGCUUGUUGGCGGGGUAACGGCCCACCAAGGCGACGAUCGUUAGGGGUUCUGAGAGGAAGGUCCCCCACACUGGAACUGAGACACGGUCCAGACUCCUACGGGAGGCAGCAGUGAGGAAUAUUGGUCAAUGGGCGGAAGCCUGAACCAGCCUAGUAGCGUGAAGGAUGAAGGUUCUAUGGAUUGUAAACUGCUUUUGUACGAGGGUAAAAUGAGAUACGUGUAUCUCACUGAAAGUAUCGUAUGAAUAAGGAUCGGCUAACUCCGUG
rnacentral:rRNA from 1 species